UACGAAGGGGGCUAGCGUUGUUCGGAAUUACUGGCGUAAAGCGCACGUAGGCGGAUACUUAAGUCAGGGGUGAAAUCCCGGGGCUCAACCCCGGAACUGCUUUGAUACUGGGUAUCUCGAGUCCGGAAGAGGUGAGUGGAAUUCCGAGUGUAGAGGUGAAAUUCGUAGAUAUUCGGAGGAACACCAGUGGCGAAGGCGGCUCACUGGUCCGGUACUGACGCUGAGGUGCGAAAGCGUGGGGAGCAAACAGG
rnacentral:rRNA from 1 species